CUUAGCAGCAAUAACUGCAAUCAAGCGUUUGCGAUAACUUGCAAUGAGUCUUUUACAGCGCUCUGGAGGAAUUUUCGCCCACUCAUCUUUGCAAAAUUGUUGUAAUUCAGCUUUAUUUGAGGGUUUUCUAGCAUGAACCGCCUUUUUAAGGUCAUGCCAUAGCAUCUCAAUUGGAUUCAGGUCAGGACUUUGACUAGGCCACUCCAAAGUCUUCAUUUUGUUUUUCUUCAGCCAUUCAGAGGUGGAUUUGCUGGUGUGUUUUGGGUCAUUGUCCUGUUGCAGCACCCAAGAUCGCUUCAGCUUGAGUUGACGAACAGAUGGCCGGACAUUCUCCUUCAGGAUUUUUUGGUAGACAGUUGAAUUCAUGGUUCCAUCUAUCACAGCAAGCCUUCCAGGUCCUGAAGCAACAAAACAACCCCAGACCAUCACACUACCACCACCAUAUUUUACUGUUGGUAUGAUGUUCUUUUUCUGAAAUGCUGUGUUACUUUUACGCCAGAUGUAACGGGACAUUUGCCUUCCAAAAAGUUCAACUUUUGUCUCAUCAGUCCACAAGGUAUUUUCCCAAAAGUCUUGGCAAUCAUUGAGAUGUUUCUUAGCAAAAUUGAGACGAGCCCUAAUGUUCUUUUUGCUUACAUCGUGAACACUGACCUUAAUUGAGGCAAGUGAGGCCUGCAGUUCUUUAGACGUUGUCCUGGGGUCUUUUGUGACCUCUCGGAUGAGUCGUCUCUGCACUCUUGGGGUAAUUUUGGUCGGCCGGCCACUCCUGGGAAGGUUCACCACUGUUCCAUGUUUUUGCCAUUUCUGGAUAAUGGCUCUCACUGUGGUUCGCUGGAGUCCCAAAGCUUUAGAAAUGGCUUUAUAACCUUUACCAGACUGAUAGAUCUCAAUUACUUCUGUUCUCAUUUGUUCCUGAAUUUCUUUGGAUCUUGGCAUGAUGUCUAGCAUUUGAGGUGCUUUUGGUCUACUUCUCUGUGUCAGGCAGCUCCUAUUUAAGUGAUUUCUUGAUUGAAACAGGUGUGGCAGUAAUCAGGCCUGGGGGUGGCUACGGAAAUUGAACUCAGGUGUGAUACACCACAGUUAGGUUCUUUUUUAACAAGGGGGCAAUUACUUUUUCACACAGGGCCAUGUAGGUUUGGAUU